GGCAUCUCCUCGUACUCUGUCCUGGUGUGGAAUCUUUGUUCUUCACUUCUUUGGGUGCAUGCUGCUUUUGUGAGCUGUAACACCGCGAAGGUCUGCAGCUUCACUCUUGAAGCCAGUGAGACCAGGAACCCACCAGAAGGAAGAAAGUCCAAACGCAUCCGAACUUCAGAAGGAACAGACUCUAGACACGCAGCCUUUAAGACCUGUGACACUCACGGCGAGGGUCCGCGGCUUUAUUCUUGAAGUUAGUGAGACCAAGAACCUACCAAUUCCGGACACACUGGAUUUACAGUAGUGCACAGGAAUACCAUGCAGGACUGGUAUGGCAGCUCUACAACAUCCUUGCAGAACCAAGCUCCUUUCUUCACCACUCUCCUACGUACAGAGCUUAUAGCCUCAGGAGCUUCAGCCAUCACUUCUGCGUUCCAGGCAGGAAAAAGGGAAGAGCAGAAGGUAAAAGUGGUGCUCCUCUGAGUUUUAAAGAACUCCCCUAGAAGUCCUGCUCAGUAGUUAGUGCUUCUGUCUCAUGGGCCACAUUUUACUGCAAGGGGUGGGGGAUGGAAAAUGAUGCAGUGUUUUUACUAGGUACUUUGUUAUCUCAUUAAAGUCCAGCGUUCUGGAACUAGGGAAGUAGGUGGAUAUAGGGCAAACAAUAGCAGUCUCUUCCCUUCUCACACAGUCCCUCUAUAAGGCUAGUGGGGAUUACUCCAUACUUCAUAAAGAUGAGAAAACUGAGAAGUGGUCGUGAGGACUUGUUUAGAGCCACAGAAUGUCAGUGGUGAUGUUGGUCCCAACACCCAGCUUUGAAAAAAUGAGAGAACACAAAGAAACCCAUGAACAUCUGUGGACAAACACCAGCUGUGAGCCCAGGGCCACCUCUCCUUGCGGAAUCAAAACUGGCAGAUGAGAGAGGCUGCAGAGGUCAGUGAGGACGAAGGUGGCAGGGCACUGGGGCAGAUGUUUCAGUGAUGGUGCUCCAUGCUCUGUGUCAUUCCUUAGGUUGGCAAAAGGUAGACAGCUUUGGCCUUGGCUCAGCUGGGAGAACAGAUGGGCAGGAAUUCAGCACAACUCCUAAAUCAGCCAAGCGGCAGACUGCCUCCUUUCCUUCUCUGGGUCAGCCAAGGCUACAGUUUCCACCUGGUCACAGCCAGCUGCAGAGGCCCAAGACUGAAGCCCAUGACAGCUCGGCGAGGAGCACCUAGAAAUGUGCCAUCCCACACCUGACUGUGAGGGGCCAUCAGGAGAACAAGCAAGGGCAGGUGUUUCUUCCAGCAGUGAGGGGACAUCUGUACUGAGCUGCCCAGCAGGAGAAAGAUUAGAUUUCUCUGUGCAAAGCAAACAGCUCCUUAUGGCAGUCACAUACCUGUCCUCACUCCUUUUGAGCAUAGGGCUAUACUGAGAAAACCAGUUUGUUUGAAAAAGGCCUGGAGCUCUGUUCUUUCUCAUCCCCUUUAUCUACCAUAGGAAUAAUGGCAACGUGACCAGAGGUGUAAGGGGAGCCUAGGACCUACUCUGAAAUACAUGUAAUGCAAGUGGAGGCGGCAACUCCCCACAUCUGAGGAGGGGAAGGUCCUCACAGAAGGGAAACAGGAACAAAGCAAAAGUAGACAGGAACAUGUGUUUAGCUUUAGACACAGGACAUAAAAUGCAGUUUUGCUGCAGUUCUGGUGAGAGCACGUGGCAUAGGAGGAAGACGGCUGAACGUCGCGGGGUUUGCUUGGGAGGAAAUGACCAAGCCCAGAGGGAAAGAAGCGUUCCCUCUUUCCCCUUCCAAUGCUUACAUCAAUUUUGGAUUAUCUGUGUAUUUACUCCCCAUUCAUUGACUCUAAUUAAAAGUUGACUGAAAUCUGUUUAGAAUUCUAUGUAGCCAGGCUUUCAGAAAAGCUUUUUAAAAUAAGUGUGGAGUAGAAAUUUGGUAAUGAAGAUCACUACCAUGCUCCUUUGAGAGAAAAGAUGGGAAAGGGACUGGAAGGAGAGGAUGGCUAGACGGAGGGAGGGCUAGCUGUGGUGGCCCCACGCUCCUCAGAAGCCGUGCCCUGAAAAGAGCCACUUCUGAGCAUUCCACUGACAUUACUUUUCCACGAAGCUUUGGGCACCUCAGGCCCCUGCAGUUGGACAAUGAGGCUCUUCAGACAACUAUAAAGAACUUCCAACUCUUGCUCCCUCACCCCAGGCCUUCUGUAAUCUUGAGACCCUAGAUCUGCUCACGUGGGCUUGGGAAGGCUGGUCAGAUGGCCAAUAGGGUCUGGCCCCACCUGCCUUUCCCUUUCCUCCUUCAGCAGCAUAGCUCCUUGCCCUCACGAGGGCACAAUCAGGGCUGAGAGCCUUCAUGAGCCCCCCUUGGUCCUCUGGGGUAUGAGGAGUCAGCAGGGACACAUUCCCCAUCUCCACUAGGACCAUCUGUGCUCAAUUAUAAGCCCUUUGGAAGCAAGCAGAGGGCUGUUUAGCUGCUGCUGGUUCUCUAUGAUUAGCUUGUUCUUGUUUUUUGAACACUGCACGUGGUGCAGCCAGCUGUGAGAAGCAUCCACGAUUCAAAGCUUUUUCUCUCUCAAAAAGAAAAGUGCUAAGCUGGUUGUUUUAACUAUGGGAAAAGAAAAAACAUUUAAAAGUGUUACUUUCUGGGUAAGUUCCUUUCCAUACCUUUUAAUUCCACUGUUUCCAGGAUUGGGACCAUCCUUUGUCUAUAUUUCAGACCCUAUAUAGGCACUUGCUUGCUGCAAAUGAGCCUUGUUAACAUCAAGGUAGUGUGUAAUUCCAGCUCACGCAUCCGUAUUUCAGUAGCCUCUCUUCUCGCUUAUUGUGUGUUGAGAGAGACCAGAUCUUCAAGGCAUCCUUUUAAUAAAACCAUUGCAGAGACUCCACUCUGCAAUGCACUAAGGAGCCAGGGCUAACUGCAGAGGCUUACCUUCUUUUCAGGUGCUGAGCCAGGAACAAAGCAACACUACUUUGUUCACACUUGAAAUCCUCAGUGUUCUCUGCAGGCAAGAAGCAGUUGGCUGGGUUUGGCUCUAUGCCAGCAUGAAAAUCACUAGGGGUGCUUAAUAAAAUGGUUAUUUCUGGGGCUACAUCAUGGAUUUGAAAUCCAGACUCACAUGUGAGUGGAGAGCCAGAGAAGCUGGAGAUUUGGGAGUCGUGUGAAUAGUAAUAAUGGAAACCACGAGAUGAACUACAAUUCACAGGCAAAAGAAUAUGGCAGUAGAAAAAGAUGUAGGUAAUUGGCCAGGCGUGGCGGCUCAGGCCUGUAACCCCAGCACUUUGGGAGGCUGAGGUGGGCAGAUCACUUGAGGUCAAGAGUUUGAGACCAGCCUGGCCAACAUGGCAAAACCCCAUCUCUACUAAAAAUAUAAAAAAUUAGCUGUGCAUGGUGGCAUGCGCCUGUAGUCCCAGCUACUUGGGAGGCGGAGGCACGAGAAUCGCUUGAACUCGGGAGGCACAGAUUGCAGUAAGCCAAGAUCAUGCCAGUGUACUCCAGCCUGGGCAACAGAGCGAGACUCCAUCUCAAAAAAAAAAAAAAAGAUCCAGGUAAUUACAGUCCCUUCGCCUCACAUUUCUGAAUGAGGUAAAUAAACUCAUUUCUUAUUCUCAUAAUAUACAGGAUCUAUGAUAAACAGCAGCACAAUUACGCCAGUAACCACAGGGCAUGCCUAUAGAUACAAAAAGUUCUUUGUAGCAUGGGUUCGGUCGGCUUUUAUCUAACUAAAUUUUCUGAAAUUUAGAAAACCAUCUAAAUAUGGAAUAAAUGGUUUUACUUACCAUGCUGAAGAAAAAGAAGUAAAAAUGUCUAAAUAUUUAGCAGAAAUAUUACUUCAAAACUGAUUUUACUUUUUGUUUUUGCUAAGUAAUUUUAAGCGUGCCCAAGGAUAAAAAAAAUCUGUACCAAUCAUGGGUUAUUACAUUGAGGAUAAUGGGAGCCACUGUCUGAGAAAGGAGUUAUCAAUAUGGAAAGAAAAUGAGAAGCAAUCCUGUGUUGUUGGACUAGAAUUGGAGGUACUGGUGUGAAUUCAUGGUUUUCAAUAUAUGGAUAUGAAAGUAAAUUUAGAUAUUAAUGUGAAGCAAAUUUAGACAACGUGUGUACAUAUGUGUGUGCAUACAUGUACACAAUUCCCAAGUUCUGACCACUGAGCCUGGGAUGAGUGGCACCACAAUAGUAAGCACUCCAAUCUAACCUUUUAUAAUAAUUUCCUACUAAAAGCAAGCAGGGCUGGAGUAGAGAAACCUGGAAUGUCUCAUUGUCAAAAAAUACAGCAGUGCCCAAGUAGAUGGGGGACAUGUCAAAAGUACACAGGGGCUAACCUGAAGGUGCUCCCAGCGGCCAUAUUUGAGACCAGUUACGCAUCUAAAGAAAUAAUGAUGUAACAAACCGUAACCCAUUGAAUAAAAGAAGAAACUACGAGUCCAUACUAGGAUGAGUUGAAUAUCUCUUAUCUGAAAUGCUUGGGACCAGACGUGUUUCGAAUUUUUUUGGAUUCUGAAAUAUUCACAUUAUCCUUAUUGGUGGGGCAUUCCUAAUCACAAACAAUACCCUUAAUUGUUUACAGGAAAUAUAUACUAAAGUAUUUAAAGGUGAUAGGCCCACUGGGUUGGCAACUCACUCUCAAAUGGUUCAGGUUCUGUACUUGGAAUUUUUCUGUUUGAGAAUGUUUCAAAAUAAAAAUGU
rnacentral:lncRNA from 1 species